UGAGGAAUUUUGCGCAAUGGGGGAAACCCUGACGCAGCAAUGCCGCGUGAGUGAAGAAGGCCUUCGGGUCGUAAAGCUCUGUCAGAUGGGAAGAAGUUAUUAAUUAUUAAUAGUGGUUAGUAUUGACGGUACCAUCAAAGGAAGCACCGGCUAACUCCGUGCCAGCAGCCGCGGUAAUACGGAGGGUGCAAGCGUUAUUCGGAAUCAUUGGGCGUAAAGGGCGCGUAGGCGGUAUGUCAAGUCAGAUGUGAAAUCCCGGGGCUUAACUUCGGAGGGUCAUUUGAAACUGACAUACUUGAGUUCGGUAGAGGAAAGCGGAAUUCCUGGUGUAGCGGUGAAAUGCGUAGAUAUCAGGAGGAACAUCAGUGGCGAAGGCGGCUUUCUGGCCCGAUACUGACGCUGAUGCGCGAAGGCAUGGGUAGCAAACG
rnacentral:rRNA from 1 species